AACUCCCCAACAGGUCUGUCUUCUGUCCACUGCCCAGUAAUUUCAGGUAACAGUUUUAUGUAUUAUUUCCAGGUUUUAAAUUGUUUUCUGCAAAUUUUUUUUUUUUCUAGUAGGGUCUUAGUCCAUCAUUUCCAGAAAUAGAACGCCCUACCUAAAUCCCUACUCUUCCAAACUACAAAGACACCAUUGAAUCCAUGCAUCUAUCUUGGAUUUGUUUGAAAUACCACUCCACCAAAGGCAACUCCUUUAAUUUCUAGUAGGUCCAACAUGACUAUAUGCUCUCAAUUAUUCAGUGUUAGUCAUUCUUGUACAUCUAGAUUUCAAUAAUUAUUUAUGUUCCCCUGAUAUUAUAUUCUUCUCUUCAUUAGUAUGGCCAUUAACCUACCAUCAAAUGGUAAAGUUCAAAAUAAUUAACUCUUAGUCAUGAUUUUUAGAAGACGUUCAGAAAAACAAAUAAGAGAGGAGCUGCGUAGUUGUGACUACAGUGAGGUUUGGGAAGUUCCCUGGGAACUCUGUUUUCUCAUACUGCGCUUGACCCCAUCUCUGUUUUAACUGUGUGAUCGGCUCUGCCAAGUUUCCUCUUGAAGCCAAUUUUAAGUUCUCUUUUUAAUUUGGUGGAUUAACCAAUGUACUCAUUGCAUAUUUAUUUACUAAACACUUUUUACUUCUCCCUCCUAAUUAUAUCUCUUUGUCUCUGCUAUUUAUCUCUGUUUCCCCUAUUGUGGUCUCUUUAUUGUGCCACCCACAAAGCCAGUAGCCUACCUUUGAUACAGUUUCUUACUUGGGCACUUUUUGUAUCCUUCCUUCCUUCUCAGAUAUGUACCCAUCACAGUAGCAACAGGUUACAAAAGAGUAAAUUUUUUCGUUCGUUGACAUCAUCCAUUUUCCCCAAACAACUGGGUCGAUCUUGAAGUAGUGUAAAUAUUUGCUUAGGAUUUUAUCCUAAUAUCCCACUCAGUGAGACAUCCGUGCUGAUAAAACAGCAGGGACGUGUCACAGAGCAGUUUCUACAUUCUACAACUCAACAACUAAAGGGAAUCUUUAUUUAAUUAAGUUUUUUUUAUCUGUCUCAUUUCCGCUCAUAAACAACACUGAAUUUCUCAGGGCCCUUAUUUGCAUUUUCCAUUUCCUUUACGCUAAUGGUGCCUUGAAUUCUUGGCUAGACCUCAUCAGAAAAGUCAUUUUCCCUUGAGUAUGAGUAACAGAUGGAGUAUACCUUUUAGACCUGCUCUAGAUUUCCCAACAGUCUUAGAAUGAAGCAGGUCACUGCCAAACCUAUUGUCUGGGAGGAUUCAAAUCCCACAGGUUUCGACAUCUAAUCAAGAGAGAUCAGACAAGAUACAAAUAAGCUGCCAAUAAUUAUUUUUUUCACAUGUAGUUUAAGAGAAAGAUAAUUUGCGGUUAUAUGUGGAUAUAAAAUACAUAUGCAGUACUUUAUGUCAGACACUGUUCAAGCACUUUGCUGAUGAGACUUUAAAUAGAUAUUCAAAGGGAAAAACAUAACAGGUCCAAGUUGCACACACUGGCUGUUUUUUUUCAGACCUGGAAGUUAGUGAGUUGGGGCUGGGUGAGAUGGCAGAAGUCAUAGAUUCUUAAAGUUCUCCUUUGUCAUUGAGAGAUUAUUGGGACGUGCUAAAGGUCUUAUCUGGGUGAGGAGUGACACAGCAGGGCGCACGAACGUCUUCGUGUGGAGGGCAGUGGAUCAGGAUCUUGUUUUUGUGGAAGGGUAGAGAAAUAUGUGUUUGAUUACAAGUAUCAAAAAGGCGGGGUGUUUCUGGGAAGUUGACCUGCACUGGGGGCCAGUAGUCAGUCUGUAGAACACGCUGGUCAGGAAGCCUGGUGGGCGUUCAGGACCCAACCCUUUCCAAAUCCCUUGGGAGUGACAAAGAGGAAUUUCUCACACCUGCUCAGAGCCUGGCUCUCCGUGGGUGGUAUUACCCACAGCUGUACAUAGUCUAAAUGUGCUAGCAUCUUUUAGGAGCUGCCUCUGGUGGAACACAAGAAUAUAAAAAUACUGUGACCUAAAAAAAAUUGCCCUUCUCUGAACUCUAGGCAAAGUUGUAAACAUUGCUGACAUUUCUUUCUUUCUUUUUUUUUUUUUUUUUUUUUUUUUGCCAUUUCUUGGGCCACUUCCACCCCGGCAUAUGGAGGUUCCCAGGCUAGGGGUCAAAUCGGAGCUGUAGCCGCCAGCCUACACCAGAGCCACAGCAACACGGGAUCCGAGCCGCGUCUGCGACCUACACCGCAGUUCAUGGCAACGCCGGAUCGUUAACCCGCUGAGCAAGGGCAGGGACCGAACCUGCAACCUCAUGGUUCCUAGUCCGAUUCAUUAACCACUGCGCCACGAUGGGAACUCCUGCUGACAUUUCUUGAUGUCAAUUGGAUUGUACUUUCUAGCAUUCUUUCUUCAUUGGUUUAGACUGGACUGAGACAUACAAAUGAUGACCGUAUUCCUAAUGAUAAUAUCUAUAAUUGUCCAAAAAUCUACUAAAACUGUACGAGAUAAAAAGUUUAAAACAUGACUUUAACAAUCAUGACUAUGAAGACCUUGAAGAACGGAGUUUUAGGUUAAUUCUGAAGAGUUUUACCUGUCUAGAAUGUCCAUUGCCUAUCCCUUGCCUAUUGAAUAGGAUGCUUUCUGAGCUAUCCUGCAUCCUGCGCUUGUGCAGUGUUUGAAGUGCCCCUGGAGAGCGUUAUGAUUUCCUUUGUACUUUUCAUACAAAUUUAGCACAUUUACAUGCAACUCCAGGGUUAUCGAAAAAGGAAAUGGAGAAUUCAAAAUUGAGGAAAACGCUAAUUUGAACACAGUGUUCAGUAGGGCUAUUUUAGGAUAGUAUAUCAAAUGUAAUGGAAAGAGGGGAGACGUACUAAUAAGCUCUUAUAUUAGAGCAAAGUAAAAAAAAGACACUUAUUUGAAUUGGACGUAGCAACAUGACUUAUGACCUUCUAAGAAAAUGUAUCUAAUUGGAAUUGGUUGAGCUUGUGAUAGGCUACAUGUCCAUGAGAAGGCUUGAUAAAGACAAAAAUAUAUACACUAUGUUAGAGAAAAGUCAUACUGGUGGGAGUCAAGGGACCAAUUUCUACUGAGUCAAUGCCCAAUUUCUACUAAACAUGGAGAAGGCUCAGACAACAAGUUAUUUUAUUAAAAAUAAUAAUCGAAACUGAUAUGUUUAAUUGAUACAUUACAACCUCUUCCCUAUAACUCUGGUUAAGAAGUGAAAAAUGUUAAGGAAAUGACCAGAGAAGGAAAGAAAGAAAAGGAAAAAGAAGGAAAGUAAAGGAGGAGAAAAGAGAAGUCCUGCUGAGUUGACACAGAUGGCAUUUUGUGUUCUGGAAUAGGUAACAAGAGCAGUCUUCAGACAAACUGAAGCCUGAGUCUGCUGAGGGUACUCUGGGUUUUGGGGAAAUUGAUCUUUGUUUUUCCCGAUAUCUCAGUAAACAUGCUGGAAUCUGCUGGAACUGUUUAUAUGACCCCUUUGCUUCUGAUGGGCAAGCCAGUCUUCAGAACAGCCAGAUGUGAGGUAGACCAAGGAAGAAAGCCUGCGAUAAUUGCAAAAUGAGCUUCCCCUGGCUGGGAGAAUCCUCAAUCCCCAUGAGUGAGAAUCAUAUAUAUAUAGGACUGUGUCACUUUACUAUAUAGCAGAAAUUGACAGAACAUUGUUAAUCAACCAUCAUAGAAAAGUUUUAAAUCUUAAAAUAAAAACAAACGGGAAAUGUGCUCCAUUUAGUGUCUAUGUGCAUGCGUAUGUGUGCAUGCAUGUGUGCAAAGAGAGCGAGCAUGUGAGAAAAUGUUGCUUUCAAAUAUUAAUUUACGGUUUUAAACAAUGAGUGGCAUUGGUACAAAAUCAGUUUGUUAUUUCUCUACAGACAGUCCUAGAUGAAGUAAAAAUAGUAGAGAUUUUACAUGUUGCAUUUUCUGGUCAUAGAUCAAUUAAAUAAGAUACAAAAAGGCAAUGGUGAAACGACUAUAUGGAACUAUCUGGAAUUUAAUAAUUUAAUCCAGAAAUUCUAAAGAAACUUAAAAUUGCAAGCUAAGAACAAAUAUUACAGAACUAUAUACAGAAAAAAAUGAAAAAGAAAACAUUAUACCAAAAUCCCCAACUGAAGUUGGAAUUUAAGGAAGGAAUACAGUGUAAAAGUUAGGGGAAAAAAACUGGCAAAAUUAACCACAAGUUAACCAAGACAAAAACUAAUGUCAAAAGAGAAAUAGAAAAGAAACUUAUAAGAAAGUAUACACACAUUGCGCUAUUUGAAAAGGCCAACCAGAAAACAGUAACUCCUAGCAAGCUUGAUUAAGGUAAAUAUACAGAAAGAAACAGCAUCCAAGUUUAGAAAUGAGGAGAUGGCAUAGUACAGGUGAUAAUAUGAGAGUUUACAAAAGAAAGUCAUCCAUAAUCCAUAAUGGACAUUUUUUAGACCCAGAGGAAAUUGAUCUCUUCACAAAAUGUAAAAAUUGACCCAAGAAAUUGUAGAAUGCGUGCAUAAACUGAUGACAGGAAAAGGGAUUUAAAAUGGGUGGCAGUUUCCUCAUUCUACAUUCAUCUACCCUCUGGUCAUUGUGUAUUUUUUUACCUCUUGAUUUUGGGUUCGUAAGACCAAAUACAUGGGGUGAAAGGCAAGUAUGCCUGUCCGAGCCCAGCCCUCUAAGCCUAGCCCUUCGGAGGCUUCAGGUGUCUCUGCCCUCUCCUUUGCCUCUGACGCAGCCAUGGAAAGGCUGCAUCCUGGAAAGGAGGACGUGAGACCCGUGGUACAGAAGUGCCAGCCAAGCCCAGCAGAUCAGUGAUCCCCAGCAGAUGUUCAGACGAGUAAGCAAGCUCCACAGAGGUGAGUAGAGCUACCCGAAAUGAACUACAGACCUGUGAGAAUAAAACCCCAUUGUUUAAAUCUUUGAGUUGUAGGUUGGUUAUUUUGCAACUAAUCCUGAGCACAUACCAAUGUUAUCAAAGUUCUUCCAUCAUUAUUAGGACACGGGUACAAGAAGAUCUUACAGCUGAUUUUUUUCUAAUCCUAGGAACAGAUAAUUUCAGAAUAUAUUUGAUCUUUCCCAGACUAGAAUAAAAGGAUGUAAAGAUUCUUAGUUCAUUUUAUCAAACCAGACAUCUUAUUAAUAGU
rnacentral:lncRNA from 1 species